AUCCUUUCUGGUUCAUAAAGCAUGAUGGUUGGGUGCUAUUGCGGGGAUAUGUGCCGCCCACUAAACCUUGUUACGACGUGGGCACAUUACCUGUCUGACA